rnacentral:rRNA from 1 species
AACGAACGCUGGCGGCAGGCUUAACACAUGCAAGUCGAGCGCGUAGCAAUACGAGCGGCAGACGGGUGAGUAACGCGUGGGAAUCUACCGAGCCCUAAGGAAUAGCUCCGGGAAACUGGAAUUAAUACCUUAUACGCCCUUUGGGGGAAAGAUUUAUCGGGGUUUGAUGCGCCCGCGUUGGAUUAGCUAGUUGGUGGGGUAAAGGCCUACCAAGGCGACGAUCCAUAGCUGGUCUGAGAGGAUGAUCAGCCACAUUGGGACUGAGACACGGCCCAAACUCCUACGGGAGGCAGCAGUGGGGAAUAUUGGACAAUGGGCGCAAGCCUGAUCCAGCCAUGCCGCGUGGGUGAUGAAGGCCCUAGGGUUGUAAAGCUCUUUCACCGGUGAAGAUAAUGACGGUAACCGGAGAAGAAGCCCCGGCUAACUUCGUGCCAGCCGCCGCCGUAA